rnacentral:rRNA from 1 species
GAUGAACGCUAGCGAUAGGCUUAACACAUGCAAGUCGAGGGGCAGCAUGGUCUUAGCUUGCUAAGGCUGAUGGCGACCGGCGCACGGGUGCGUAACGCGUAUGCAACUUGCCUCACAGAGGGGGAUAACCCGUCGAAAGACGGACUAAUACCGCGUACACUCUAUGUUGGGCAUCCAAUGUAGAGGAAAUGAAAUUCGCUGUGAGAUAGGCAUGCGUCCCAUUAGCUAGUUGGUGAGGUAACGGCUCACCAAGGCGACGAUGGGUAGGGGAACUGAGAGGUUGAACCCCCACACUGGUACUGAGACACGGACCAGACGCCUACGGGAGGCAGCAGUGAGGAAUAUUGGUCAAUGGGCGAGAGCCUGAACCAGCCAAGUCGCGUGAAGGAUGACUGUCUUAUGGAUUGUAAACUUCUUUUAUACGGGAAUAACAAGAGUCACGUGUGGCUCCCUGCAUGUACCGGAUGAAUAAGCAUCGGCUAACUCCGUG